AAAUAGUAAUGUACCGAAGACAGUAGGUGGCGAUUGCCUUAAUCAUUCCUACCGAGGACAAUCAUGAUUGUUAACAAUAAUCAGUCGUUCUCUAUGUCUACGGUGACAUGGAGUUUUUUUAUUUA
rnacentral:sRNA from 1 species